rnacentral:ncRNA from 2 species
UUUGGUAUGUGUAACUGGCGCUAACGUGGAGAACCACGAGGAAGCACAUAUUCAUACUGUCGUACGCCUGGGCAAAGUGU